rfam:Trichuris suis scaffold48.9, whole genome shotgun sequence.
GCUCCAGUGGCGCAACCGGUUAGCGCGUCGUACUUAUAAGCAGUACUGAACCUGCUGACGAAAUGCGAAGGUUGUGAGUUCGAUCCUCACCUGGAGCA